rnacentral:lncRNA from 1 species
GGCAAACAUGGAGUCCACUGUAACAGGAUGCUCUGGGUAGAAGUUGCUCUUAAGCAGAUCUAGGAUCAGCCUUCCAAUCCCAAAGUUUGACCGUAAUCCCCCCCAAAUCUCAGUCAGUGUAUAGGUUCAACUUCAUCCUACUCCACAGUACUGUAGGUCUCCAUCCUGCUCCACAGUCCUGUAAGUCUCUAUCCUGCUCCACAGUACUGUCGGUCUCCAUCCUGCUCCACAGUCCUGUAAGUCUCUAUCCUGCUUCACCGCCCUGUAGGUCUCCAUCCUGCUCCACAGUCCUGUAGGUCUCCAUCCUGCUCCACAGUACUGUAGGUCGCCAUCCUACGCCACAGUACUGUAGGUCUCCAUCCUGCUCCACAGUACUGUAGGUCGCCAUCCUACGCCACAGUACUGUAGGUCUCCAUCCUGCUCCACAAUACUGUAGGUCGCCAUCCUACGCCACAGUACUGUAG